rnacentral:lncRNA from 1 species
CACAUCUAAACUAAACCUAACCUCGCUUUUGGCCAUUCAUUCAUCUCCGUGUCAAAUAAUUUCGACAGUCGCCAUAUUGAAAGCGACUUGUUUUUGGUCGAAAUUUGAUUUAGAAUCAGGGCCCAGUGUGCGUCUUGGAAGAGUGUUGCCAUCGUAUACGCUAAAAGCUGAUUGGCUCCGCCAUCUUUUGCUCAGAUUUCCGGAUUAAUUUGGAAGGGGUAAACAGAUGAUCAGUUGUUUAUUUUUCGUUUACUCUGGUUUAACCUCACUUAACUCGAUAGAUCGAGAAAUAUUAAAUUACUAUUACUAUUAUUCAGGUUGAAAAAUGCCUUCCUCUGAGGUAAAAGGUUGCGAAGUCGAUUGGGGAAAAAUAAUGUGAAAAUGAAUUCUUUCCCAAAAGAAUCUGAACGUCGGAAAGUGUGGAUUAAAAAUAUAGUGUUAAAACAAGAUCCAAACAAAUAUGCUGUUGUUUGUGAAGAACACUACUUCUGACAUGUGGAAAAAAGUUAGACAAGAUGGCAGCAGAAAAUUAAAAUGCAAUGCUGUACCAACAAUAUUUAGAGAAGAAAGCGAAAGUAUUUAAUUAUUUAUAUUGGUUUUUUGUUUAUUCACCAAUUUAACACCUAUAGAUAUUUGUAUAACAAGAGAGCGAAGUGCACCUUUUCCUCCCAAGAAUAAAGUUUACUACAGUAAUCAUUCAAGGGAGGAAAAGGCACUUCUCCCAUGUUAUACAUUUUUCCACCUCCCUCAAAUAAGUCAUUUUUUCAUUUUUAAAAUAUUUAUAUAACUGUUGAUUGAAUACAUGAAUCAUAAUUGAAUACAAGAAUUUGUGUAUUCAAUCAACAAUAGAACUAACAAAAUUUAUUAGAGAACUAAAACUAACGAGUAGGUACAGUAUAACUAUCAAAUUAUUAAUGAAAAAUUUUUAAAUCAAAAUAACAAUUUACUGUUUUUACCAUUUUGCAACAUCUAUAAAUAAAAUUUAAAAUGUAUGGAUACUUACCUAAUAGAAAAUAGAGUAAUAGUAUAGGGUGUCAAUAAGUCAUCUAUGCUAUGACAUAGUAUGACGUCAACAUCACUUUUACUUUUACUCCCUAGGGAUUAAAAGUACUUUGUUUCCCUAGGGAGAAAAAAAUAUGACUAUGCUCCCUACAAUGAGGCCAGGAAAUGUAUACUUUGGAUAUAGGUAGGUGGGAAAAUCUGUUUUAUUCAGUUAUUGUGAUUUGUUUCUUACAGACAAUCGGUUUGUUCUAGCACGAGUUUCAAACGGUCUGAAACCAUUAGCGAAUAGUAGACCAGCGCGAGUAGAGGGGAUAGCACUCGUAACUGUAUUAUGUUCUCUCACUGACCAACUGUUUGCUGACUAGUUCGACUGUUUGCUAGAACAAACCUAUUAUUCAAACAAAAUGUCCUCUACGCCAGACUGAUCAGAAUUUUAAAAAUGUGUCAUAUCAAUCAAAUCAAAAAAUUUCAAAAAUUGUUCCUGUAACCAUUUUUAGUGGAAAUAAUAACAGUACUUAUAUUGGAUCAGAGAGCCACCCAAUUCAUUGUUAAAGUAUGAUAAACUAAAAGUUAAACAAUUAGGCAUGCACUUCAUUUAUAUUUAAUGAAAUAUAACCCAUUGGUACUCGUACAAACUUGACGGCAAGCAAAUUCAACAAAUUUUUCCUCAUUUAUUAGUUUUUCACUACCGUUAAGUUUGGAAACAUGCGCCGUUGCCAAAUAAAAACAUAUACAGUCAGAAAAAUGAAAGAAUACCCAUGAACGAUCACAUCAAUCACAUAUUUUGUAUUUGCUGUUUUUUUUUUCAUAAAUAAUAAAUGAGAGAGAUAGAUUAUAUUAAUAAUCUGAAUAAUAUGUGAUUGAUGUGAUCGUUCAUGGGUAUUCUUUCAUUUUUUUUGACGGUAUGUAUUUACCACAGCAACUACAGGUGACACUGUUUCUCUUUGUCUUUAAGAGUGUGAAACAAAGAUAACUACAGUGGGAAAAAUAAAGAAUACCCAUGAACGAUCACAUCGAUCACUUAUUUUGUGUUUCCUAUCUUUUUCUAUAACAAAUGUUUAUUAUUUAUAGAAAAAGACAACUAAUAUACGCUGAGCUCGUAGGUAGAGGAGAUAAUUAAAAAAUCGCGAGAGCCAGUAGUGACAAGUCUGUAAACCUUUACUGGAAAUUUGACAUAAAUGUCAAAGUGAAUAAUUUAAAAUUGAAAUUAAAAACAUUAAUUAGAAAAAAUAUUAGUUGGUCAAAGCUGUGGUAUAUAUUUUUAUCUUAAGUAUACUUACGGUUUAAAUACUGAAUUAAGUUUUUUUAAUAUUUUGUAAUAUCUAAUUAUAAUUAGAUAUAAAUCAUCUAAGCGCCAUCUACACGAUAAUUGUGAAUGUAUCUGAAGUAAGAAAUUAAUAUUUCAUAAGAGAACGUUAAAACAGUUAGCAAAAUUUUUAAAAAAUCGAUUACAAUUUAAUUACUUUUUUGCGUUGUAAAUAUUAAGCUAUAAAAUUAAAUAAUAAAUUUAAAAAUUACUGGUGAAAGUUGAAUUAGUAAUCCGCUAGGAGCGACACCAGCGAAGCUCAGAGCGUAUAAGUGGGUGCGUUUGGACGACCAUAGCGGCUGACUGUCAGCAGAAAUCGGCUGAGUGGUUGUAUCCAGCUGUGAUAGGGAAAGCUUAGUAAAUCUCUCAGCGGCUGACUUCCAGCGGUGACGUCUGACAGCUACUGCUGGCUCAGCUGUCCAGCCGCUGUGGUCAUCCGAACGCACCCAGUGUCAGUCAUGUUUUCCUAUAGUAUAGAAGGCUUAGAUAGAAGGUUAUGUAAGAUUUUUGUUUGUUUAUUUUUUUCUUCUUCUUUUGUGGCCUUUGGAAGCUGUGCCCAUUUAGCCAGCAACAUUUCUUAAAAUUAAUGCCUAACUAAACCUACCAUACAAGAAAACCAUUACGAACCUAAACGACCAAUCAAGGAUACGGAAGGGAAAGUAAAGUUAUUUAAAAAAUAAACUGUUGUUAAAAUAUAAACUAAAUAAAUAAAAUAUAAAUUGAAAACAAUAAUUUGACAUUAUAAAUGUAACCUCCAAUAUUAUGACAGACGUCAGUUACCAUGACAUCAUAUAUUAUACUCGUCACUAAUUCUAGCCAAUGAAAUGCUUGCUGUAAUAGGAAUGGCAUAUCAAAAAAAUCUGACUAUUCUCUAUAUAUUUUUUCAAAUUUAGAAUAUGGCAACAAGGGGAAAGUUAUGUGCAUUCCUCAUUGUUUGACUUUUCCUAUAUCUUUAGUAUCAGGUCAUCGUACAAUACAAAUACUUCCUGCAAUGAUUGGAAGUAAUGCAGAACAAGAAUUGAAUUUGGAAUCGCUGAGAAAAAGGAUUGGUGUACAAAAUAAGAAAGUAUAUAAAGGACAACAAACAUCUUCCAUAAGCGAUCAAAAUUGUAUAACUGAAAUAGAUUCUGCUCCACCUUUAGGUAUAAAAAAUAUUUUGACAUUUUUUUUUAUUUAAUACACAAUUUAAUUUACCAUCUGAUCAUGAAGCUGUAAGUAAAUGGUGUGAAUGUUGAACACAUGAGGGAGAAGCUGCCAUGUGGCAACUCUCCUGUAUAAUAUAUUUUAUAUUAGUUCACAUAAAUAGUUAAUUUAUUAAGUCUGUUGGCCAUGGUUUCUUCAGUCACCUUUCAAAUCCAGGAGGGGUAUUUAGCAGUCUUGAUUCGUUACUUGGAUGAUCCGUUGUCCAUCAAGGAAGUUUCUUGUGAUUCUAAUUUUUUUCUCUACCAAGGAUGUGGCAGAGUCAUCUUGUAUAGGGUUUUGUUCAAGUGUAAACACUUUUUUGCGCCAGUCCAGAGCUGUCUGCCAGCGCUGUCUGAAUAGAAAGGUGGUCUAUUUUUCAUGCCACUGGCAUUCCAGUGAGACUGGCACCAGUUUCUGGAUACAUGUAAACGUUACUUUAUUUUAUGUAAAUAUUAUUUUCAUUCUAGAAUCAAAGGGAGACUCUUUUAACAGGUAAAUGACGAUAUCAUUCUUUUUGUUCUAGAAAAACUGUAAAUAGUAUUUAAGGCAACGAUUGUGAAUGAGUGAGAAGUCUAAUAAAACCACGACGAGAUACUGUAUUAGAGCGUACGAUUUGGAGGUAUUUUUGAUUAGAUAAAUUUUGUAAAGUACAAUAUAAAUUAGAUUUGAUAAUGUGUAGUAUUUCCUAAUAAAUUAAAUACUAUUAAGUGUUUAUUGUUCUUGUAAGUUAGUGUGGUAAAUAAAUAAUAUGAAGUAAG